CUGGUUAACACCAUGGUGGACAUGCCUGCUGUAAGGUGUCCCCUUAGGAAGUAGGCAUUUGCGACCACAGCGGAGGACACGGACCCUGAAAGAAAACGAGUGGUACACUGAAUGCUCUCUUCCGAGAGAUACAUCCUGGAGGAAGGAAAUAAUGAUGUCACUGGCCAAGGGCCUCAACACAGCCAGAACACCUCUCCACUGUCCCUUUCCCCCAGACCAACUCCUGUCCAUCUCUCCUCAGAAAAGAGCAGGCCUCCAAGAGACAACAAUGAAACACAGGACAACAAGAUACAAUAAAGCAAGGCAAGAGCUGUCACACCAAAGCUGGACAAGGCAACCAAACUAACAGGAGGAGACGAGUCCCAAGAGUAGGCAAAAGAGUCAAAGACAUGCGUGUUCCCACUAUUAGAAGUUUCACAAGACACCAAGCUAACAGCCAUGACAUCUACACAAAGGGUCUGGUGCUGACCCACAUGGGCCCCAUGCAUGCUGCUUCAGUCUCUGUGAGCCCAUGGGAGCCCUUGGUUGAUUCAAUGGGAUGUGUUCACCUGGUGUCCUGUAUCUCCUCUGACCCCUAGAAUUCUUCAGCUAACUUCUCUGCAGGGUUCCCUAAUCUCUGAGGGGAAGGGCCCUCGGAGGCCUCCAAUUUAAACGCUCUCCAUAAGCUGACAUUUACUUUCCAAUCAUGUUAGUCUUCAGUUUUCUCUUGUUCUUCCACCAACAGUGUGUUAUCACCACCGUGCAACCGUGACCUUCACUUUAUUUUCUCAUCCAUAAGUGAUGCAAAUGGAUUAAACGGCAUUAAAAACU
rnacentral:lncRNA from 1 species